rnacentral:rRNA from 1 species
AGAGUUUGAUCAUGGCUCAGAUUGAACGCUGGCGGCAGGCCUAACACAUGCAAGUCGAGCGGUAGAGAGAAGCUUGCUUCUCUUGAGAGCGGCGGACGGGUGAGUAAUGCCUAGGAAUCUGCCUGGUAGUGGGGGAUAACGUCCGGAAACGGACGCUAAUACCGCAUACGUCCUACGGGAGAAAGCAGGGGACCUUCGGGCCUUGCGCUAUCAGAUGAGCCUAGGUCGGAUUAGCUAGUUGGUGGGGUAAUGGCUCACCAAGGCGACGAUCCGUAACUGGUCUGAGAGGAUGAUCAGUCACACUGGAACUGAGACACGGUCCAGACUCCUACGGGAGGCAGCAGUGGGGAAUAUUGGACAAUGGGCGAAAGCCUGAUCCAGCCAUGCCGCGUGUGUGAAGAAGGUCUUCGGAUUGUAAAACACUUUAAGUUGGGAGGAAGGGCAGUAAAUUAAUACUUUGCUGUUUUGACGUUACCGACAGAAUAAGCACCGGCUAACUCUGUGCCAGCAGCCGCGGUAAUACAGAGGGUGCAAGCGUUAAUCGGAAUUACUGGGCGUAAAGCGCGCGUAGGUGGUCCGUUAAGUUGGAUGUGAAAUCCCCGGGCUCAACCUGGGAACUGCAUUCAAAACUGACGAGCUAGAGUAUGGUAGAGGGUGGUGGAAUUUCCUGUGUAGCGGUGAAAUGCGUAGAUAUAGGAAGGAACACCAGUGGCGAAGGCGACCACCUGGACUGAUACUGACACUGAGGUGCGAAAGCGUGGGGAGCAAACAGGAUUAGAUACCCCGGUAGUCCAA